GAAAUUCGGAUUUCACCAAGCGAUCUGUACUUCUCUCUCUGUUCUUCCUUCCUCUCUUUCCUUCCUUCCUCCUUUCUUUCUUUCAACUGGCAACCCUAACGGUAAGCAAACCCCCCCCCCCGCCCCCGAUAAAAAUUCAGAUGUUCUCAACAGGGAAGUGGGCUGAUUCUUCUUUUAAUGAAAAGAUUAAUCAUAGGAUGCUUCUAAACAGCUUUAAAGAGGAUGCUUUUUUCCGGUGGAGACAUGAGGCAGUCGGAGUGAGGACCUGUACCUGCACAUGCCAGGCAGACGGGUUUGGAGCAAGAGGAAGAGCAAGUCUGACCAACUGUGCAGCAAGGGGACGGAGGGCCUGAAGGGACACGGGGCAGGUAAGGGAGGGAUGAGGGCUGUUGGGUACUAAAGAGCCCCCAAGUCUAGCCCAGGUGUGGGUCCCCUUGGGGAAGUGCAUGCCUCCUUCCUUCAGCUGAGAAGCUGGGAACCUCAGCCCGUCUGACGCGAGGCUGGAGGCCGGAGCCUUCCUUCAGCAGGAACACGCAUGAGCAACCCUGGCCUGCACCCGGGACCCCACCUUGGACUUCCCCGCACGUCCAGCUGCUCACAGCCACGAAGAGGCAGGUGCUCAGAGAUUUGUCUGCUGGCAUGACAGGAGGGGACACGGAGAGCGCCAGUGUUCUGGGAGAUCCAGAUUUCCUCGGGGGGUCAACAGCCCACUGGGAAUAAUGCAGGAGGGUCGUUCAAACACGUGGUAUCACAUGAGGUUAGAAUGCAUCCCAAAGUUGUUGUUUGUUUGUUUGUUUUUUGAAGAUCUUAUUUAUUUAUUUAUUUAUUUGAGAAAGAGAGUGUACAAGCAAGGGUAGAGGCAGAGGGAGAAAGAGGGAAGCAGACCCCCACCCCCACCCCGAGCGUGGAGCCCAACGCAGGGCUCGAUCCCAGGACCCCAGGAUCAUGGCCUGAGCCGAAGGCAGACACUCAACCACUGAGCCACCCAAGUGCCCCCCAAGUUCUCCUAUGCCAAGGAGGUGAGCUCCCCAACAGCUGUGUCACAGUAUGAAAUCACAGUGUCGAUCUGAGGGGCAUUAUGCACCGUGACUCACCAGCCAUCAGACGAGGGGCAACUAGCAGGACCAAGCAGAAGUGUGGGGGGAACAGGGUCCUGGAACCUAUGCCUGGUGGCUCAGGCUGGCCCAGAGCUGUCCUGCUCAGUGGGCAGGGCUGAGCACGGGGACAGAGCUGGCAUUCAUCCCCGCAGCCACAAAGGCUCCAUCACACCCUCGAGCUGUGUUAAGCACUUCCGUCCUGAACGGGGCCAUCACAUUUGGCUUGCAUCUUCCCCUUGACAUGCUACUCACUACCUCUCACUCGCCAGCCCUCCCCCCCCCCCGCCCCGGAGUCUAAGGGGUUUACUCCCAGAAGAGCUCAAACCCAAGCAGUGACAAGGAAGGCACGCAUCCCCGGAGCCUGACCGUGGGUGGCAAACACCCAUUAGAUGAGGAAUGGGCCGUUGGCACAAUUUGAGGAACCUGACAAAUAAAUCGGGUGUGACUCAGAUGGGUAAGUCGACC
rnacentral:lncRNA from 12 species